AUACGGAGGGUGCAAGCGUUACUCGGAAUCACUGGGCGUAAAGCGCGCGCAGGCGGUCUUUUAAGUUGGAUGUGAAAGCCUACGGCUCAACCGUAGAACUGCAUCCAAAACUAUUAGACUAGAGUGUGGGAGAGGAAGAUGGAAUUAGUUGUGUAGGGGUAAAAUCCGUAGAGAUAACCAGGAAUACCAAAAGCGAAGGCAAUCUUCUGGAACACUACUGACGCUGAGGCGCGAAAGCGUGGGGAGCAAACAGGAUUAGAAACCCUAGUAGUCC
rnacentral:rRNA from 1 species